rnacentral:lncRNA from 10 species
AGUAUGAUUAGGAUGUUACAUAAAUCAAACUGUGCUAUAUACAGUAUGCAGAGAAGGAAAUUCCUUAGCUUGUCUAAAGUCUGAUAGUGUGAAGAAUUUGCUGACCUGCUCUCCAUGCCUGUCUGAGCACGAGUGAAGUGAAUCAGAGAGAGAUUGCAAGAUGGAGAAAGGAGGUACAGUUGGAGAGAGUGGAGGGGGCAGGAAAGACCAGACAGAGCUGCAUCUCCCAUGAAAACAACUGUGUACAUAAGAUAGAGUGAGUACAUAGAGUACAUAGAAGAGUGAGCUCUGAAAGAACUCUCACAUGGACCCCAGAAAGAGGAGUACUCAACGCCUGCUGCACAGAAGGCAUCAGCAGUUAAGUACUGGCUAGAAAAGCGGAGUCCAUCAAAGGAGAGGACCACAGUGGUAGCUGCCUGAAUACCCAGAGUGGCUUGUGUUUCCUGGGCUGAACCCUGCCUGGAGAGCUGUCCCUGCAAGCUGAACUAACAGAAGAUGAAGAAUGAGGUCUCCCUGAAAUGCCCACCAUAAGACUGCCAGAUAUGGGACUGCUGGAUGACACUCUGGCUACCCCACUGAGUUUUAUGAAAACAUAACAGAAUAAAGACACUUACUUGUCAACUCAGUUACAAGCUAUUGAGGCACUCCAGAGUGACGGCAUGUGAUCCCCCUGACACAAGAAACAGGCCCAGAUAACACACCGUUCAGACCGACAGCAGUUCU